CUACGGGGGGCUCCAGUGGGGAAUUUUGCGCAAUGGGGGGAACCCUGACGCAGCAAUACCGCGUGAGUGAAGAAGGCCUUUGGGUCGUAAAGCUCUUUUCUGAAGGAAGAUAGUGACGGUACUUCAGGAAUAAGCACCGGCUAACUCCGUGCCAGCAGCCGCGGUAAUACGGAGGGUGCGAGCGUUGUUCGGAUUUACUGGGCGUAAGGGGCACGUAGGCGGCCUGGCAAGUUAAGGGUGAAAUCCCGGGGCUUAACUCCGGAACUGCUCUUAAAACUGCCAAGCUAGAGAUAGUCAGAGGCGGGUGGAAUUCCUGGUGUAGAGGUGAAAUUCGUAGAUAUCAGGAGGAACACCGGUGGCGAAGGCGGCCCGCUGGGGCUAUUCUGACGCUAAGGUGCGAAAGCGUGGGGAGCGAACGGGAUUAGAUACCCUGGUAGUC
rnacentral:rRNA from 1 species